rnacentral:rRNA from 1 species
AUUGAACGCUGGCGGCAGGCUUAACACGUGCAAGUCGAGCGGGGUGAUGGUGCUUGCACUAUCACUUAGCGGCGGACGGGUGAGUAAUGCUUAGGAAUCUGCCUAUUAGUGGGGGACAACAUCUCGACAGGGAUGCUAAUACCGCAUACGUCCUACGGGAGAAAGCAGGGGAUCACUUGUGACCUUGCGCUAAUAGAUGAGCCUAAGUCGGAUUCGCUAGUGGGUGGGGUAAAGGCCUACCAAGGCGACGAUGUGUAGCGGGUCUGAGAGGAUGAUCCGCCACACUGGGACUGAGACACGGCCCAGACUCCUACGGGAGGCAGCAGUGGGGAAUAUUGGACAAUGGGGGGAACCCUGAUCCAGCCAUGCCGCGUGUGUGAAGAAGGCCUUAUGGUUGUAAAGCACUUUAAGCGAGGAGGAGGCUCUUUUGGUUAAUACCCAAGAUGAGUGGACGUUACUCGCAGAAUAAGCACCGGCUAACUCUGUGCCAGCCGCCGCCGUAA